GUAAGGAUGAUGAAAGAAAUCAUUCGGAUUCCCAUUGAUUUCCUACGCGGGAAAGAUGUGAUCAUAAACCAGCUACUUUUGACUUAU
rfam:Brassica napus, WGS project CCCW01000000 data, contig: 5102